GUCAGAGGUUCGAAGGCGAUUAGAUACCGCCCUAGUUCUAACCGUAAAUAUGUCAUCUAGCGAUCCGCCGACGUUACUACAAUGGCUCGGCGGGCAGCUUCCGGGAAACCAAAGAUUUUGGACUCCGGGGGGAGUAUGGUUGCAAAGCUGAAACUUAAAGGAAUUGACGGAAGGGCACCACCAGGAGUGGAGCCUGCGGCUUAAUUUGACUCAACACGGGAAAUCUCACCAGGCCCGGACACCGGAAGGAUUGACAGAUUAACAGCUCUUUCUUGAUUCGGUGGGUGGUGGUGCAUGGCCGUUCUUAGUUGGUGGAGCGAUUUGUCUGGUUAAUUCCGGUAACGAACGAGACUCUAGCCUGCUAAAUAGGCGUCGUCAUUUAGGUGUGCGUGGCUCCGUCACGCAACUCACUGGCGACGUAUUAAAAUUCUUCUUAGAGGGACCGGCGGCUUCGAGCCGCACGAGAUUGAGCAAUAACAGGUCUGUGAUGCCCUUAGAUGUCCUGGGCCGCACGCGCGCUACACUGAAGGAAUCAGCAUGUUCUCCCUGGCCUAGAGGCCCGGGCAACCCGCUGAAACUCCUUCGUGCUGGGGAUUGGGGUUUGCAAUUAUCCCCCAUAAACGAGGAAUUCCUAGUAGCGCGAGUCAUAAGCUCGCGUUGAUUACGUCCCUGCCCUUUG
rnacentral:rRNA from 1 species